UACGUAGGGUGCAAGCGUUGUCCGGAAUUAUUGGGCGUAAAGAGCUCGUAGGCGGUCUGUCGCGUCGGCUGUGAAAACUCGGGGCUCAACCCCGAGCCUGCAGUCGAUACGGGCAGACUAGAGUGCUGUAGGGGAGGCUGGAAUUCCUGGUGUAGCGGUGAAAUGCGCAGAUAUCAGGAGGAACACCGGUGGCGAAGGCGGG
rnacentral:rRNA from 1 species